CAGUAGCCGCGGUAAUACGUAGGGUGCGAGCGUUAAUCGGAAUUACUGGGCGUAAAGCGUGCGCAGGCGGUUCGUUAAGACAGAUGUGAAAUCCCCGGGCUUAACCUGGGAACUGCAUUUGUGACUGGCGAGCUAGAGUAUGGCAGAGGGGGGUAGAAUUCCACGUGUAGCAGUGAAAUGCGUAGAGAUGUGGAGGAACAUCAGUGGCGAAGGCGGCCAUCUGGGACAACACUGACGCUGAGGCACGAGAGCGUGGGGAGCAAACAGGAUUAGAGACCCGUGUAGUCCCUGUCUCUUAUAC
rnacentral:rRNA from 1 species